CGAAAAUGCGUCCCGAUCGAGUGUCAAGCAGACUACAUAGAUCAUUUGUUCCUAUCUGCCAAGGCUUGGGUAGCUGGAGAGUGAGCAGUGCCAUCGCCUUUUCUCCGCUGAUGGAUGUCUGUCUGGUGUUAAGGGUCUUGUAAGGAGUAAGUGGCAGCACAUCCAUCGUAUCUGAGCACCAUCAGGCAAGAGAGGGAUUGCCUCUGCACUGUUUCUGGUGGAAAAGAAAUGAAAACACCAGUUAUCUUUACUUUCUCCAGCCCCCGCCAAGUGGAUUUGCCAAUCGGAUCAGCCCAUCACUAAGACCAGCAAACUCUAGGCAAACUCCAUGUGCCUUCCUGCAAAACAUGCCGUGCCCAUGGCAGAUUGGUCACCGGCUGAAGCAGUGCCAAUGUCAAGCUACAGGGGUGGCAGCUACACGCCAAGCAGGGGACCUGGAGAGCACCCUGGGGUGGUAUUUCAGCUUCAUGCCACACAUACAGCCGUCUGCUUUUCCACGCUGUCCUUUGGCCUUCCCUGGUUUGCUGAACUGUUAUGCGAGUCUGCCUAAGGAUAAUGUAAGGCAGUGUUUGGUUAAUAAGAUGUCAUUGCAUACACGCAGGAGAAAACUCAUUUCACAGCUAACAGGUUUCUCAGUCUGA
rnacentral:lncRNA from 1 species